AGAACGAACGCUGGCGGCAUGCCUAACACAUGCAAGUCGAACGAACCCUUCGGGGUUAGUGGCGCACGGGUGCGUAACGCGUGGGUAUCUGCCCUUUGCUUCGGAAUAACUCAGGGAAACUUGAGCUAAUACCGGAUGAUGUCGCAAGACCAAAGAUUUAUCGGCAGAGGAUGAGCCCGCGUAGGAUUAGCUUGUUGGUGGGGUAAAAGCUCACCAAGGCGACGAUCCUUAGCUGGUCUGAGAGGAUGAUCAGCCACACUGGGACUGAGACACGGCCCAGACUCCGUACGGGAGCAGCAGGUGGGAAUAUGACAAUGGGCAAGCCUGAUCCAGCAAUGCCGCGUGAGUGAUGAGGCCUUAGGUGUAAGCGUCGUUUACCGGAUGGAUAUGACAGUACGGAGAAUAACGCUCCGGCUACGUCCGUGCC
rnacentral:rRNA from 1 species